UGUUGCAGAAGUGAAGCUUGCGUGGUUCUCUAAGGAUCAGCUGCAGAAGUUCACAGAAUCUACUGCCCAUCCCUGAGCAUAUUAGAGGUCUUGCUAUGUUGCCCAGGAUAGUUCAGUUCUCAAGCGAUCCUCCAACCUUAGCCUGACAAGCAGCUGGAAACCAUCCACCCUCACUUAGCAUAGCAGCUUUGAUCACAGAAGGUAGUUAUCUGCUAAAUUUCUCACUGUGAAGCCACUCCUUUUCCUUUUAUAGCUAAGAAGUAUCUUUUAUGAGGUUAGGGCUCGGCUCAGCGUUAGAGAGCCUGCCUACCGAGCUGGGGUUCUUGGUUCUGAUGCCAGCCUCCCACAAGAAAGCUCUUGUCUCACCAGGGGCUUGCCUGGUAGCUGACCUGAAACUCUCAUUCCUCCUGCUCCCACACCUGUCCAGACGAGCGACUAUGAUCACGCUGCUCUGAGCGCGCCAUUCAGAGUUUGAGCUGCUGAUGCGGCAGUUUUCGAGUUUGUGUGAUGCCCGAAGCUAAGGGAAAAAACUCGAGGCAGAAAUUCAGUUACAAUGUCAACUGAGAGUGUCUGAAUGCUCGUCAGAAGGCAGUGCCAUGGAUCAAGUGCUCCCACAUCCGACAUGCCUGGGACCACACCAAAUCCA
rnacentral:lncRNA from 1 species